UUAAGCGACUAAGCGUACACGGUGGAUGCCCUGGCAGUCAGAGGCGAUGAAGGACGUGCUAAUCUGCGAAAAGCGUCGGUAAGGUGAUAUGAACCGUUAUAACCGGCGAUGUCCGAAUGGGGAAACCCAGUGCAAUUCGUUGCACUAUCGUUAACUGAAUACAUAGGUUAACGAGGCGAACCGGGGGAACUGAAACAUCUAAGUACCCCGAGGAAAAGAAAUCAACCGAGAUUCCCCCAGUAGCGGCGAGCGAACGGGGAGCAGCCCAGAGUCUGAAUCAGCUUGUGUGUUAGUGGAACGGUCUGGAAAGUCCGACGGUACAGGGUGAUAGUCCCGUACACCAAAAUGCACAGGUUGUGAACUCGAAGAGUAGGGCGGGACACGUGGUAUCCUGUCUGAAUAUGGGGGGACCAUCCUCCAAGGCUAAAUACUCCUGACUGACCGAUAGUGAACCAGUACCGUGAGGGAAAGGCGAAAAGAACCCCGGCGAGGGGAGUGAAAAAGAACCUGAAACCGUGUACGUACAAGCAGUGGGAGCACCUUCGGGUGUGACUGCGUACCUUUUGUAUAAUGGGUCAGCGACUUAUAUUCUGUAGCAAGGUUAACCGUAUAGGGGAGCCGCAGGGAAACCGAGUCUUAACUGGGCGUUAAGUUGCAGGGUAUAGACCCGAAACCCGGUGAUCUAGCCAUGGGCAGGUUGAAGGUUGGGUAACACUAACUGGAGGACCGAACCGACUAAUGUUGAAAAAUUAGCGGAUGACUUGUGGCUGGGGGUGAAAGGCCAAUCAAACCGGGAGAUAGCUGGUUCUCCCCGAAAGCUAUUUAGGUAGCGCCUCGUGAAUUCAUCUUCGGGGGUAGAGCACUGUUUCGGCUAGGGGGUCAUCCCGACUUACCAACCCGAUGCAAACUACGAAUACCGAAGAAUGUUAUCACGGGAGACACACGGCGGGUGCUAACGUCCGUCGUGAAGAGGGAAACAACCCAGACCGCCAGCUAAGGUCCCAAAGUCAUGGUUAAGUGGGAAACGAUGUGGGAAGGCACAGACAGCCAGGAUGUUGGCUUAGAAGCAGCCAUCAUUUAAAGAAAGCGUAAUAGCUCACUGGUCGAGUCGGCCUGCGCGGAAGAUGUAACGGGGCUAAACCAUGCACCGAAGCUGCGGCAGCGACACUAUGUGUUGUUGGGUAGGGGAGCGUUCUGUAAGCCUGCGAAGGUGNUGCUGGAGGUAUCAGAAGUGCGAAUGCUGACAUAAGUAACGAUAAAGCGGGUGAAAAGCCCGCUCGCCGGAAGACCAAGGGUUCCUGUCCAACGUUAAUCGGGGCAGGGUGAGUCGACCCCUAAGGCGAGGCCGAAAGGCGUAGUCGAUGGGAAACAGGUUAAUAUUCCUGUACUUGGUGUUACUGCGAAGGGGGGACGGAGAAGGCUAUGUUAGCCGGGCGACGGUUGUCCCGGUUUAAGCAUGUAGGCUGGUUAUCCAGGCAAAUCCGGAUAAUCAAGGCUGAGGUGUGAUGACGAGGCACUACGGUGCUGAAGUAACAAAUGCCCUGCUUCCAGGAAAAGCCUCUAAGCAUCAGGUAACAUCAAAUCGUACCCCAAACCGACACAGGUGGUCAGGUAGAGAAUACCAAGGCGCUUGAGAGAACUCGGGUGAAGGAACUAGGCAAAAUGGUGCCGUAACUUCGGGAGAAGGCACGCUGGUGUGUAGGUGAAGUCCCUGCGGAUGGAGCUGAGACCAGUCGAAGAUACCAGCUGGCUGCAACUGUUUAUUAAAAACACAGCACUGUGCAAACACGAAAGUGGACGUAUACGGUGUGACGCCUGCCCGGUGCCGGAAGGUUAAUUGAUGGGGUUAUCCGUAAGGAGAAGCUCUUGAUCGAAGCCCCGGUAAACGGCGGCCGUAACUAUAACGGUCCUAAGGUAGCGAAAUUCCUUGUCGGGUAAGUUCCGACCUGCACGAAUGGCGUAAUGAUGGCCAGGCUGUCUCCACCCGAGACUCAGUGAAAUUGAACUCGCUGUGAAGAUGCAGUGUACCCGCGGCAAGACGGAAAGACCCCGUGAACCUUUACUAUAGCUUGACACUGAACAUUGAGCCUUGAUGUGUAGGAUAGGUGGGAGGCUUUGAAGCGUGGACGCCAGUCUGCGUGGAGCCAACCUUGAAAUACCACCCUUUAAUGUUUGAUGUUCUAACGUUGGCCCCUGACCGGGGUUGCGGACAGUGUCUGGUGGGUAGUUUGACUGGGGCGGUCUCCUCCCAAAGCGUAACGGAGGAGCACGAAGGUUAGCUAAUCCUGGUCGGACAUCAGGAGGUUAGUGCAAUGGCAUAAGCUAGCUUGACUGCGAGCGUGACGGCGCGAGCAGGUGCGAAAGCAGGUCAUAGUGAUCCGGUGGUUCUGAAUGGAAGGGCCAUCGCUCAACGGAUAAAAGGUACUCCGGGGAUAACAGGCUGAUACCGCCCAAGAGUUCAUAUCGACGGCGGUGUUUGGCACCUCGAUGUCGGCUCAUCACAUCCUGGGGCUGAAGUAGGUCCCAAGGGUAUGGCUGUUCGCCAUUUAAAGUGGUACGCGAGCUGGGUUUAGAACGUCGUGAGACAGUUCGGUCCCUAUCUGCCGUGGGCGCUGGAGAAUUGAGGGGGGCUGCUCCUAGUACGAGAGGACCGGAGUGGACGCAUCACUGGUGUUCGGGUUGUCAUGCCAAUGGCACUGCCCGGUAGCUAAAUGCGGAAGAGAUAAGUGCUGAAAGCAUCUAAGCACGAAACUUGCCCCGAGAUGAGUUCUCCCUGAGACUUUAAGUCUCCUGAAGGAACGUUGAAGACGACGACGUUGAUAGGCCGGGUGUGUAAGCGCAGCGAUGCGUUGAGCUAACCGGUACUAAUGAACCGUGAGGCUUAACCUU
rnacentral:rRNA from 1 species